rnacentral:rRNA from 1 species
UACAGAGGUCUCAAGCGUUGUUCGGAUUCAUUGGGCGUAAAGGGUGCGUAGGCGGCGCGGUAAGUCGGGUGUGAAAUCUCGGGGCUUAACUCCGAAACUGCAUUCGAUACUGCCGUGCUUGAGGACUGGAGAGGAGACUGGAAUUUACGGUGUAGCGGUGAAAUGCGCAGAUAUCGGGAGGAACACCAAUGGCGAAGGCAGCUCGCUGGGACGUGACUGACGCUGAGACGCGAAAGCGUGGGGAGCAAACAGG